rnacentral:lncRNA from 1 species
GAGAGACCCGUGGAAUAACUGAGCUUCGUCAUGGCGCUGCUACGAGUUUGGGUUUUACAAGAGUGAAGAGAAUUCACCACAGGACAUUGCCAUAUGACGACUCACCUAAUUGUUAAUGUCAUUAAAGGGUCCCAGCCAUGGGAAGGCUGAGAAGCACUGCUAUAAGCCUGCUUCCCAGUGAUGUACUCCCUCCAGCAAGGCUACUCCUCCCACAAUCUCCCCGACCUGACUCCAAGUGUUCAGAUAUGUGAACCAGUGGGGACUUUGACCAUUCAGAGCAUCACAGUGCGGCUGUUUCUAGGUUGACCACACCUUAGGACAUGGCCCUACCCCUACAAGCAUAUUUAUGGGCAGUACAAAUUGGACUUAGCAAUUAUUAAAAAGAAAAUUAC